rnacentral:rRNA from 1 species
UAACGAAUCUUCCGCAAUGGGCGAAAGCCUGACGGAGCAAUGCCGCGUGUGGGAUGAAGCGCCUUCGGCGUGUAAACCACUGUCAGGGGACGGAACCAAUGAUUGUCCCCAGAGGAAGUGGCGACUAACUCUGUGCCAGCAGUCGCGGUAAUACAGAGGCCACGAGCGUUAGUCGGAAUCACUGGGCUUAAAGGGUGCGUAGGCGGGCUCGCAAGCGUCUUGUGAAAUCCCAUGGCUCAACCAUGGAAUUGCAGGGCGAACUGCGAGUCUUGAGGCAGGUAGGGGCCGGAAGAACAGUAGGUGGAGCGGUGAAAUGCGUAGAUAUCUACUGGAAUGCCGAUGGGGAAGCCGUCCGGCUGGGCCUGUCCUGACGCUGAGGCACGAAAGCGUGGGGAGCAAA